rnacentral:rRNA from 1 species
GACGAACGCUGGCGGCGUGCUUAACACAUGCAAGUCGAACGGAAAGGCCCUGCUUUUGUGGGGUGCUCGAGUGGCGAACGGGUGAGUAACACGUGAGUAACCUGCCCUUGACUUUGGGAUAACUUCAGGAAACUGGGGCUAAUACCGGAUAGGAGCUCCUGCUGCAUGGUGGGGGUUGGAAAGUUUCGGCGGUUGGGGAUGGACUCGCGGCUUAUCAGCUUGUUGGUGGGGUAGUGGCUUACCAAGGCUUUGACGGGUAGCCGGCCUGAGAGGGUGACCGGCCACAUUGGGACUGAGAUACGGCCCAGACUCCUACGGGAGGCAGCAGUGGGGAAUAUUGCACAAUGGGCGGAAGCCUGAUGCAGCAACGCCGCGUGCGGGAUGACCGCCUUCGGGUUGUAAACCGCUUUCGCCUGUGACGAAGCGUGAGUGACGGUAAUGGGUAAAGAAGCACCGGCUAACUACGUG